rnacentral:rRNA from 1 species
GGCGGCGUGCCUAAUACAUGCAAGUCGAACGGUCUUUUCUAUGGAAGCUUGCUUCCAUGAGAAGAUAGUGGCGAACGGGUGAGUAACACGUGGGUAACCUGCCCAUAAGAGGGGGGAUAACAUCCGGAAACGGGUUGCUAAUACCGCAUAGUUUUCUUGAUCGCAUGAUUGAGAAAGGAAAGACGGCCUUUGUGCUGUCGCUUAUGGAUGGACCCGCGGCGUAUUAGUUAGUUGGUGAGGUAACGGCUCACCAAGACGAUGAUACGUAGCCGACCUGAGAGGGUGAUCGGCCACAUUGGGACUGAGACACGGCCCAAACUCCUACGGGAGGUCAGCAGUAGGGAAUCUUCCGCAAUGGACGAAAGUCUGACGGAGCAACGCCGCGUGAGUGAGAAAAGGUUUUCGGAUCGUAAAACUCUGUUGUCAGAGAAGGACAAGUUGGAGAGUAACUGCUCCAGCCUUGACGGUAUCUGACCAGAAAGCCACGGCUAACUACGUGCCAGCAGCGGC